rnacentral:rRNA from 1 species
GACGUAGGGCGCGAGCGUUGUCCGGAUUUAUUGGGCGUAAAGAGCUCGUAGGCGGCUUGUUGCGUCGACCGUGAAAACCCGGGGCUCAACUUCGGGCUUGCGGUCGAUACGGGCGGGCUAGAGUUCGGUAGGGGAGACUGGAAUUCCUGGUGUAGCGGUGAAAUGCGCAGAUAUCAGGAGGAACACCGGUGGCGAAGGCGGGUCUCUGGGCCGACACUGACGCUGAUGCGCGAAAGCCAGGGGAGCGAACGGG